rnacentral:sRNA from 1 species
AGGCCACCCGUGGUCAGCUUGUGGUCUUCAUUUAUGCGGAUUAACAUGAUGGAUUUUUUUCUCGUCGCUUUCUUCACGGAAUCUCGAUUCUGACGAUUCACGCUGAUUUAAAGACAUUUUUCUAAUUAUAAGCAUUGGCUAUGAACGUUGAGUUUGUUGUUGGAUACGAUGAACUCUAUUUUUCUGGUUGUAUACUGUACAUUACACUUUUGCACUCCCUUUUUCACCCCCCCUCCCCUUCCUACUAGAUGAAUCAAUAUAGAUUUUUAUCCUCAAAUUGAAUUAAAG